AAGUCGUAACAAGGUCUCCGUAGGUGAACCUGCGGAGGGAUCAUUAACACUGAUUCGACCCAUAAAAUUUACUUUUUAUGGGAAAGAGUAAUGGAAGUGUAGGACUAUUUAGGCUAUUCAAAACAGUCUAUUUUGUUUUAUUCCUUUCAUUAUUUCUUUUCUAUCCACACGUGAACUUAACUUAUGCCUUUUUUCCCCUAACUUUUUGAAUUAAAGGUUAGGCCAUUGUUUUGAAACCCUUUUUCUAUCCAACCAGCUAACUAGCUAUAUACAACUGGAAAGUCAUAUAUAAUUUAAUUAUAUAUGAAUUUUUCUCAUAAAGUAUAAUUUAAGCACAACUCUUAGCAACGGAUAUCUCGGUUCUCGUAACGAUGAAGAAUGCAGC
rnacentral:misc_RNA from 1 species